GUUUUCCUGUCAAAGUUAAGAGCAUGAAUUGCCAUUAAUUAUUGCCUGGUGUAGCAGUUCUGAGGACCAGGGUUCAAAUCCCGACACGCCUGUGUGGAGUUUGCAUGUUCUCCCCGUGCCUGUGUAGGUUUUCUCCGGGCAUUCCGGUUUCCUCCCACAUCCCAAAAACAUGCGUGGUAGGUUAAUUGAAGACUCUAAAUUGCCUGUAGGUGUGAGUGCGAAUGGUAUUUUGUUUCUAUGUGCCCUGCGGUUGGCUGGCGACCAGUUCAGGGUCGCCCGAAGACAGCUGGGAUAGGCUCCAGCACGCCCGCGACCCUAGUGAGGAGAAGCGGUACGGAAAAUGCAUGUAUAUAUGUAUAAUUUUGUUGAUUAUACCUUACAGCAAACAAAAACAAAAAUUCAUCAACUUUGGAAACUAGAAUAUUACAUAACAAACAAUCAAGAAACAAGGAAAAUCAUUUUUAAUGUGGAAAUUAGAACAGGAAUUUUGUGUUUCAUGAAUCUAUAUACAGUAUGGGUACUGAAAUAAAUUGACUUUUCUACCAUAUUGUAAUUUAUUGAGAAGUACAGUACCUGUAGAAACAGAGUAUCAAGUCAAAUCAAUACAUUUAAGAUACUCACGAAGCUCUAAGGAUGCUUGAGCUUUAUCAGUAUCUUAAAUAUAUUAAUUUGAGGAUGUUGAAUCUCUGUUGGAGCAUGUUUGUGUAGUGUUUGCAUAUUCUCCCCAUGCUUGCGUAAGCUUUUUGUACUGGUACUCCAGCGUCCUCCGACAUUCAAAAAACAUUAAUUAGAGACUUGCCCCAUAUUUGUUUAAUUUGAAUGGUUGUUUGUCUAUAUGUGCCCUGGGACUAAUGAGUGUACCCAGCCUCUCACCCAAAGUCAGCUGGGAAAGGCUCCAUUUAGCCAUGACCAUAAUGAGGACAAUUGGUAGAAAUAGAAAAUGGAUGGAUGAACGCAACAUAAACCUAAACUGUUGGAUUUUCCUCUGCAGUCACCAAAAAUUACCCAAACAAACUUAAAGUGAAGAAAAAAUGGGAAAUUAAAAACAGAAGCUACAACAGUACUGAGGGAAGAACAUAUUCUUUCAUUCAUUUUUCAAACCGCUUAUCCUCACUUGGGUCGCGGGCGUGCUAGAACCUAUCCAAGCUACUGUAUCUUCGGGCAAGAGGCGGGGUACACCCUGAACUGGUCGCCAGCCAAUCGCAGGGGACAUAUAAACAAACGAACAUAUGGGUUUUUAAAAUAUAUUUCUAGUCUGUGUGCGCAUGAAUUUUACUGGCAUUAUUUAAUUUUCAUAAUUUGAAUCUCAAAUGUGUCACACCGCAGCCUAAAGGGAGAAGGGACCCCAUUACAUGUUGUUUGAACUGAGUUUACGCUGUUAAUUAAUACACUGUUUUUGUUUGGUGCCUCCAGACAUGUGGAAACCUAGUGACUGACCCUUGUUGAGGAAUUAAAUUUUUAAUCCUGUGGCAAUGAUUUACCAGACAGAUAAUCUCUUGUCCUGAUACAUCCUCCAGCGUUGUCAUCCUGACUUGGCAUUGGAUAACAGACCUAACUCUCAUCCACAUCCAUUAGACUCUGGAAGGCAUGGAAAAAUUGUUCAUGUCACAAAAACUAACAGAUAUUUUGAGGAAUGCAGCUCAGUUUUUCUACAUAACAAAAUGAAAAUGCAUAAUGGAAAGUAAACAAGUCAAAUACCAAUUUAGUGGUAAUAUUGGCUAUGGAUAUUUGCCAGGCCUAUGAUUAUUCCCAACAGUAGAUAGAAAGUCUACACACCCCUGUUCAAAUGCCAGGUUUUUGUGAUACAAAAGAAAUGAGGCCAAGAUAAAUCAUUUAAAAACUUUUUUUCACCAUUAAAGUGGCCUAUAUCCUGUACAAAGCAAUUGGGGAAAAAAGAAAGAAAAAUAAAUCUUUUCAAGAGUGGAAUCAGAGAGAAACAACUGAGAUGUGGUUGCAUAAGUGUCCACUGUCAUGAUCUGUGCCCUGCAGUUCCUCUGCGAGGCGUGGGUUGGCGCCUUGUGCUUCUUUUUCCCCUCUCUCUCCCCAGCACUAAUCACCUCCUCGCCUGCGCACCUGGUUCCAAUCAGCACUCAUCACUGCCUGCUCUUAAGCCUGCCUGUUCCUGCGUUCCAGCGCCAGAGUAUUCUCGCUCCAACGUGUGCCCUCCUGUGUCUCCUGCCACGACGCUCGCUCCAGCCGCAUUGCAAAGUUCACUCACCUGCUCAUGCUCCAGUCUCCCGCAUGGUCCCUGCUCCUACGGACCACCAUCACGCCUUGAAUUCUUGACCUCGCGCUUCACCCA